AGAGUUUGAUCAUGGCUCAGAACGAACGUUAGCGGUGUGGAUUAGGCAUGCAAGUCGCGCGUGAAAGCCUUCGGGCGAGUAAAGCGGCGAAAGGGUGAGUAACACGUAACCAACCUGCCCCUCAGACUGGAAUAACCACUGGAAACGGUGGCUAAUGCUGGAUGUUCCAGGCUGGAGACAUCUCCGGUCUGGCAAACGGUGGCGCAAGCUGCCGCUGAGGGAGGGGGUUGCGGGCUAUCAGCUAGUUGGCGGGGUAACGGCCCACCAAGGCGAUGACGGCUACCGGGUCUGAGAGGACGGUCCGGCACACUGGGACUGAGACACUGCCCAGACUCCUACGGGAGGCUGCAGUCGAGAAUCUUCCGCAAUGGGCGCAAGCCUGACGGAGCGACACCGCGUGCAGGAUGAAGGCCUUCGGGUUGUAAACUGCUGUCACGCUUUAGGAACGAACGAGCGUUAACAGCGCUCGGAUUGACCAAGGCGAGAGGAAGCACCGGCUAACUCUGUGCCAGCAGCCGCGGUAAGACAGAGGGUGCAAACGUUGUUCGGAAUUACUGGGCAUAAAGCGCACGUAGGUGGUCCGCUAAGUCACGUGUGAAAUCCCCCGGCCCAACCGGGGAAUUGCGCGUGAUACUGGCGGGCUCGAGGUGGGUAGGGGUGAGCGGAACUCCAGGUGGAGCGGUGAAAUGCGUAGAUAUCUGGAGGAACACCGGUGGCGAAAGCGGCUCACUGGACCCAGUCUGACACUGAUGUGCGAAAGCUAGGGUAGCAAACGGGAUUAGAUACCCCAGUAGUCC
rnacentral:rRNA from 1 species